ensembl:miRNA
UCUCAGGCUGUGACUCUCUAGAGGGAAGCACUUUCUGUGGUCUGAAAGAAAAGAAAAUGGUUCCCUUUAGAGUGUUACUCUUUGAGA